rnacentral:rRNA from 1 species
UACGGGGGGGGCAAGCGUUGUUCGGAAUUACUGGGCGUAAAGGGCGCGUAGGCGGCCUACUAAGUCGGACGUGAAAUCCCUCGGCUCAACCGAGGAACUGCGUCCGAUACUGGCAGGCUGGAAUCCGGGAGAGGGAUGUGGAAUUCCAGGUGUAGCGGUGAAAUGCGUAGAUAUCUGGAGGAACACCGGUGGCGAAGGCGGCAUCCUGGACCGGUAUUGACGCUGAGGAGCGAAAGCGUGGGGAGCGAACAGG